UACGGAGGGUGCGAACGUUAAUCGGAAUCACUGGGCGUAAAGCGCGCGUAGGCGGUCUGUUAAGUGGGAUGUGAAAUCCCCGGGCUUAACCUGGGAAUUGCAUUUCAAACUGGCCGACUAGAGUACGGUAGAGGGAAGUAGAAUUUCCUGUGUAGCGGUGAAAUGCGUAGAUAUAGGAAGGAAUACCAGUGGCGAAGGCGGCCUCCUGGAUCGAUACUGACGCUGAGGCGCGAAAGCGUGGGGAGCAAACAGG
rnacentral:rRNA from 1 species